rnacentral:rRNA from 1 species
AUUGAACGCUGGCGGCAGGCCUAACACAUGCAAGUCGAGCGGAUGAAGGGAGCUUGCUCCUGGAUUCAGCGGCGGACGGGUGAGUAAUGCCUAGGAAUCUGCCUGGUAGUGGGGGAUAACGCCCGGAAACGGGCGCUAAUACCGCAUACGUCCUGAGGGAGAAAGUGGGGGAUCUUCGGACCUCACGCUAUCAGAUGAGCCUAGGUCGGAUUAGCUAGUUGGUGGGGUAAAGGCCUACCAAGGCGACGAUCCGUAACUGGUCUGAGAGGAUGAUCAGUCACACUGGAACUGAGACACGGUCCAGACUCCUACGGGAGGCAGCAGUGGGGAAUAUUGGACAAAGGGCGAAAGCCUGAUCCAGCCAUGCCGCGUGUGUGAAGAAGGUCUUCGGAUUGUAAAGCACUUUAAGUUGGGAGGAAGGGCAGUAAGUUAAUACCCUGCUGUUUUGACGUUACCAACAGAAUAAGCACCGGCUAACUUCGUG